rfam:Picea glauca, whole genome shotgun sequence.
ACAUUCCUACAACAUAGUGUUAAUGCAUUGGAUACCAUUAUAACUCCACAAUUAAGCAAGCUCAAGCUAGAGUAGUACUUAGAUGGGUGACCACUCGAUAAGUCCUAGUGUUUUGAAUGCC